rnacentral:rRNA from 1 species
AGAGUUUGAUCAUGGCUCAGAGCGAACGCUGGCGGCAGGCUUAACACAUGCAAGUCGAGCGGGCGUAGCAAUACGUCAGCGGCAGACGGGUGAGUAACGCGUGGGAACGUACCUUUUGGUUCGGAACAACACAGGGAAACUUGUGCUAAUACCGGAUAAGCCCUUACGGGGAAAGAUUUAUCGCCGAAAGAUCGGCCCGCGUCUGAUUAGCUAGUUGGUGAGGUAAUGGCUCACCAAGGCGACGAUCAGUAGCUGGUCUGAGAGGAUGAUCAGCCACAUUGGGACUGAGACACGGCCCAAACUCCUACGGGAGGCAGCAGUGGGGAAUAUUGGACAAUGGGGGCAACCCUGAUCCAGCCAUGCCGCGUGAGUGAUGAAGGCCCUAGGGUUGUAAAGCUCUUUUGUGCGGGAAGAUAAUGACGGUACCGCAAGAAUAAGCCCCGGCUAACUUCGUGCCAGCAGCCGCGGUAAUACGAAGGGGGCUAGCGUUGCUCGGAAUCACUGGGCGUAAAGGGUGCGUAGGCGGGUCUUUAAGUCAGGGGUGAAAUCCUGGAGCUCAACUCCAGAACUGCCUUUGAUACUGAAGAUCUUGAGUUCGGGAGAGGUGAGUGGAACUGCGAGUGUAGAGGUGAAAUUCGUAGAUAUUCGCAAGAACACCAGUGGCGAAGGCGGCUCACUGGCCCGAUACUGACGCUGAGGCACGAAAGCGUGGGGAGCAAACAGGAUUAGAUACCCUAGUAGUCC